rnacentral:rRNA from 1 species
GGCCGCGGGAUUAGAGUUUGAUCCUGGCUCAGAUUGAACGCUGGCGGCAUGCCUUACACAUGCAAGUCGAACGGCAGCGCGGGGCAACCUGGCGGCGAGUGGCGAACGGGUGAGUAAUAUAUCGGAACGUACCCUGGAGUGGGGGAUAACGUAGCGAAAGUUACGCUAAUACCGCAUACGAUCUAAGGAUGAAAGUGGGGGAUCGCAAGACCUCAUGCUCCUGGAGCGGCCGAUAUCUGAUUAGCUAGUUGGUGGGGUAAGGGCCUACCAAGGCAUCGAUCAGUAGCUGGUCUGAGAGGACGACCAGCCACACUGGGACUGAGACACGGCCCAGACUCCUACGGGAGGCAGCAGUGGGGAAUUUUGGACAAUGGGGGGCAACCCUGAUCCAGCAUGCCGCGUGAGUGAAGAA